GUCGCACGAGAAAGUGGAGCAAUCCAUGUAGUAAAGUGGCGUACGGGUGAGUAACACGUGGAUCAUCUACCUCUUAGUGGGGAAUAACCCUGGGAAACCGGGGCUAAUACCGCAUAAGCCUGGAAAGGGAAAGCAGCAAUGCGCUGAGAGAGGAGUCCGCGGCCGAUUAGCUAGUUGGUAGGGUAAUGGCCUACCAAGGCAAUGAUCGGUAGCCGGCCUGAGAGGGCACACGGCCACACUGGCACUGAAACACGGGCCAGACUCCUACGGGAGGCAGCAGUGGGGAAUCUUGCACAAUGGAGGAAACUCUGAUGCAGCGACGCCGCGUGAGCGAUGAAGCCCUUCGGGGUGUAAAGCUCUUUCGACGGGAACGAUAAUGACGGUACCCGGAGAAGAAGCUGCGGCUAACUACGUGCCAGCAGCCGCGGUAAUACGUAGGCAGCAAGCGUUGUUCGGAAUUACUGGGCGUAAAGAGUGUGUAGGCGGUUCUCUAUGUUCGGUGUGAAAUCUCCCGGCUUAACUGGGAGGGUGCGCCGAAAACUGGAGGGCUCGAGUAUGGGAGAGGAAAGCGGAAUUCCUGGUGUAGCGGUGAAAUGCGUAGAUAUCAGGAGGAACACCUGCGGUGUAGACGGCUUUCUGGACCAUCACUGACGCUGAGACACGAAAGCGUGGGUAGCAAACAGGAUUAGAUACCCUGGUAGUCCACGCCCUAAACGAUGCAUACUUGGUGUGAGCCGUUCAUUCGGUUCGUGCCGAAGCUAACGCGUUAAGUAUGCCGCCUGGGGAGUACGGUCGCAAGGCUGAAACUCAAAGGAAUUGACGGGGGGCCCGCACAAGCGGUGGAGCAUGUGGUUUAAUUCGACGCAACGCGAAGAAACCUUACCUGGGCUCGAACGG
rnacentral:rRNA from 1 species